ensembl:lncRNA
CUAUGGGGCAGCUAUGCAUCAUGGCCCUAUGGGGCAGCUAUGGGGCAGCUAUGGGGCGGGGUGGGGGUCACGUCCCUAUGGGGCAGCUAUGGGGCAGGUGGGGGUCACGGCCCUAUGGGGCAGCUAUGGAGAGGGUGGCAGUCACAGCCCUAUGGGGACAUCUAUGGGGCAGCUAUGGGGCAGCUAUGGGGCGGGUGGGGGUCACGGCCCUAUGGGGCAGCUAUGGGGCAGGUGGGGGUCACGGCCCUAUGGGGACAGCUAUGGGGCAGCUAUGGGGCAGGUGGGGGUCACAGCCCUAUGGGGACAGCUAUGGGGCAGCUAUGGGGCAGGUGGGGGUCACAGCCCUAUAGGGGCAGCUAUGGGGCAGCUAUGGGGGUCACAGCCCUAUGAGGACAGCUCUAUGGGGCAGAUCUAUGGGGCAGAUCUAUGGGGGCGGCCCUAUGGGGACAGAUGGGGGUCACAGCCCUAUGGGGCAGCUAUGGGGCAAAAUAUGGGUCACAGCCCUAUGGGGACAGCUCUAUGGGGCAGACCUAUGGGGGCGGCCCUAUGGGGACAGAUGGGGGUCCCAGCCCUAUGGGGACGGCCCUAUGGGGCAGCUGUGGGGGUCACAGCCCUAUGGGGACAGCCGUAUGGGGGUGGCCCUAUGGGGACAGAUGGGGGUCCCAUCCCUACGGGGCGCCCCCCACCCCCCCACUCCUGUCCUCCCCCCCCCCCCGCCCCACAUCCCCCAUUGACGCUGAUGGGCCCCGACACUUAUGGGUCGCGGUUACGUCACCCCGUGGGGCGGCGGCGUGGGGCCAAGUAGGGCACCCCCCGGAGCCCCCUUAAAAAUAGCCCAAAGCCCUCAUUAGCAAUUAGGGGGGAUUACCAAUUAGGGGCCCCACGGCGGGGCCGCCCCACGGCGGCUAUGGGGCGCUGCCCCCUAAUCCCCCCCCCCCCCCCACCCCAUAAUCCCGGAUUUUCGGGGUCGCUCCGGGGGAGUCCGAAUUGGGGGCAGCACUCCUAAUCUGCCCGCCGGGAAAAGGGGCGACGGCGGCCGUGGGGCGGAUGUGGGGCGGAUGUGGG